UGCUAAAUAAACUGAAGUGGUAAAAACUUUAAAGAACAAGGAAAAGAGUUAGAGCCUAAUUUACUGCCUAAGUUAUCCACUGUAUUUCACAAGUUACAAUAUCAAGGGUCCUAUAUUCUGCCUCGGAAGAGGAUUUUGAAACUUUUACUUGCUUCUUUUAGACCUCCAUAUCUAAGAAGAUGCAGAACUUUGUGACAGAUCUCUUGGUGUCGGGACAGGCUGCCCAAUCAGAGUCAGUGAACCAUUUUAGUUGGAGUGUGGAUUGAGCUGGAAAGAAUAUGCCUUGAGCCGAAGCUGAUUUGAUAUAUUUUAGGAGUCUUUAUGUGCAACUUGUAAAUGUAUGUCUGUGGGGAAAUCUAGAAACUGAGAUAACUGCUUGUGCCUAUAUGCUGAACU